rnacentral:rRNA from 1 species
GACGGAGGAGGCAAGCGUUAUCCGGAAUUAUUGGGCGUAAAGGGUACGUAGGCGGCUAGCCAAGUCUGGGGUCAAAGGCCACAGCUCAACUGUGGGAAGGCCCUGGAAACUGACCGGCUAGAGUGAGGUAGAGGUUGCGGGAAUUCCCGGUGUAGCGGUGAAAUGCGUAGAGACCGGGAAGAACACCUGAGGCGGAAGCGCGCAACUGGACCUCAACUGACGAUGAGAUACGAAAGCUAGGGGAGCGAAUGGG